GGAAAGAGCAUGCUGUGCAUCAGCUCCACACACCUGGCUCCACAGGGAACAAUCCUCAGCAUCCCAACUCCAAGCUCCUGGUACUGCAUGUGACAGACUCGCUCACAGGAAGUGGAGUGUGAGAAAACACUGGCUAACUGAGCCAAGCUUCCAGUCCUGACUUCUGGAAGGUGUUACUAAGCCCCGACUUCUCACUAAGCUUCCCAGAAGGGCCAACCACAGCUUACCCCAAAUAAGAAAAGCAAUUCUAACAUAAAUUAUAACAGGAUCUAGCAUCACACAGGAGACAAACGUCUGACACGUCUAUGAGAGGAUUUCUACACUGUGCUAAUUGAGUAUCGAUAAUCCACCCUAAAUGUGGGCAGCGCCAUUCUAUGGGCUGGGAUCCCAGACUGAAGAAAAAGAAGAAAGUGAGCUGAAGAGCAACAUUCAUCUCUCUCGCUUUCUGACCGAGGAUGCAGUGCGACAGUCACCUCAUGAGCUCAUAUCAUGACUCCCAGGCUAUGAGGGGCUGGGUUCCCUAGACUACUGUGAACCCAAAUAAACCCCCUAUCCCUUCAACUGCUUCUUGUCAAGUACUUGGUUGAGCUGCUGAAAAGAAAGUAAUAACUCUG